AAGGAGAAGUCGUAACAAGGUUUCCGAAAGGGGCAAAGAGGACUAGUGACUCAUCCAAAGACUUACGAGAUGCUUCUCUAACUGCUCCAGUACAGCUUGCUGGACGUGAUGGAGCAAGAACUUCUCGUAAGCGUGGGUGGGCGCGACGUCCAUGGUAAUGAGACCUUCUCUGCAGGACAUACCCUACUGAAGCCUUUGCGGCCCGAAAGGGUGCGCGGUCACGACAUUAAAUAAAGAGCCGUGUUCAACGCAAGUGACGGGGAGAGAGGACUGAAAGUGACGGGGAAAAGUCGCUUUUGUUGGCGACUUUCCCGAGUGGGGGAUGCCAAGGUAUUAUAUCGCGGUAUAUAUAUAUCCCACAAUAGACGACGCAGUCAGUCCGAAAACCCAGUUGCUACCUUUUCAAAUUGCGGGAAUCCCCUAAGAGCCCAUCACUACCGCGGCCGUUGUGGAAAACACUCGGUGCAGCAGGCGAGGUAGUUCCCCGCUGGAUGGUAAUAAGGUGAUGGGAUUGUCUCUAGAGACUUGCAAUGGGCAAUCCGCAGCCAAGUCCCUGUCAAAUGGGAAAGGUUCACAGACUGUAAGGAAAGGGGUGCCGCUUCCUAUUACGCGGCGCUUAAGAGACAGUCGGUCCCCUGCGAAAGCAGAGUCCCGAAUUGGAGGAAAAGGCCCAUUAAAAGUGGGCUUUGGAGAGCCUCGGGAGGCCAGAGAGGAAAGGCUCCGCGCCCUCCUCACUCGGCUGGGUUCAAGUCCUUUGACUUUAUGUUCCGUAGGUGAACCUGCAGAAGGAUCAAGC
rnacentral:ncRNA from 10 species